GUCUGACGGAGCAACGCCGCGUGAGUGAUGAACGUUUUGGGAUCGUAAAGCUCUGUUGUUAGGAAGGCUCAUGUACCGUUCGAAUAGGGCGGUACCUUGACGGGACCAAACCAGAAAGCCACGGCUAACUACGUGCCAGCAGCCGCGGUAAUACGUAGGUGGCAAGCGUUGUCCGGAAUUAUUGGGCGUAAAGGGCUCGCAGGCGGUUUCUUAAGUCUGAUGUGAAAGCCCCCGGCUCAACCGGGGAGGGUCAUUGGAAACUGGGGAACUUGAGUGCAGAAGAGGAGAGUGGAAUUCCCCGUGUAGCGGUGAAAUGCGUAGAGAUGUGGAGGAACACCAGUGGCGAAGGCGACUCUCUGGUCUGUAACUGACGCUGAGGAGCGAAAGCGUGGGGAGCGAACAGGAUUAGAUACCCUGGUAGUCCACGCCGUAAACGAUGAGUGCUAAGUGUUAGGGGGUUUCCGCCCCUUAGUGCUGCAGCUAACGCAUUAAGCACUCCGCCUGGGGAGUACGGUCGCAAGACUGAAACUCAAAGGAAUUGACGGGG
rnacentral:rRNA from 1 species